rnacentral:lncRNA from 1 species
CCGAAUUUUGUCUUCUCUAUUCCACUGUUCUCUUUGGCUUUAACUCUAAACAUGAAUAAACAUUAUAAGAAAGAGUACAUGCAGGAAGUCUAGAUUUUUAGUUUUCUGGUACAAAUAUAUGUUAUAUAACGUACAGUUCUUGCCUACUCUUUUGUUUCUUUUUCCCCGGCCCCUUCCUCUUUUUGCCGUCUUCCUGAGUUCCCCAUCUCAACUUAUCCAGCCAGGUAGACAAAAGGUAAAAGAGUGCUCGUCUAGUUCUGGAGAUUUGCAUGUCUAAAUAUUCAAAGAAUAUCAGGGCAGGUUUCACUACGGCUUGCUAUAGUUCCAUAGCUGAUAUUUUAUGUUGUCUAUAUAUAUCUUAGAGGGUAGCUCUUUGCUUUGGUUGACAAUAAUAGAUGAUUGUUUGGAGUAGUAUUUCUUCAAUUUCUCAUUCAUAAACACAUAUAUGGACUGAACCUUGAAUGAAAUGCUGAAUCUCACACACCUUACACUCUUCCAAUGCUUCGACUAUUACAAGUUCAAGAAAAAAGAUAGAUUAAUUCUUGAGUAUCCGAGAACGAUAUUAUUAAACAAAAUUUAAAAGAAAAGUGCAACCAGAGAAGCCAUUGCAGCAAGUACAGCCGGUACACAUAAUGCUACCCCAGUAUUUUGUAUUGUUGGUAAUGGUGCAGGCGCUCCAUUAUCUUCAAGCGUAGCUGCAGCCGUGACUUCAAAACUGGAGAAGGCAAAAAGAACCAUAAUGUAGACGGCGAAAAAUUUGGCUAGCUUGGAACCUUCCAUAACUCUCUAAGUUGUUCUUUAGUGCUUGAGAAAAGCUAGAAGAAAGAGAUCGGAUUGUUUUUCUUAGUUUUAUGAGUGGGGAGCAUAAUGGAAAUGAUUUUAUAGGGUGGCUUUUGUGGGGUUAGCAAGAAGAAUCUGCCAACUAUAUAUUUCUUGUUUGUUUAACUAGAACGAGAAACAAUGUUGAACCUGUUUUGGGAAUUUUUUUUUGUUUGCCGUGAGUUGAGAUGGUAUUACUCGGGCUUUGCAUGGUAAUAAUCUGAUGGUUUGAAUCCC